CCUCCCUUUCCCUCCCCUCCGCCCGCCCUCCUCCUCCUCCUCCUUCUCAGCCCUGCCUCCCCCCACCGUCUCCCCUCCGCGUCCCAAACUGCGCACAAUAGCUCGCCGGCUCCUCUAUCUAUUUUGUGUCCAGCCGGGAGCCGCGCUCGAUGAUUCAUUGCCCCAAUUAGGGGUUCUCUCCAGCAAGCCCGGCGCGAGCCCUCUCAAGGGUCUCCUCGGGGACCCGCGGAAACCCAUCAGCCGCUAGAGCUGGUCUUUAAGUAAAGGUCAAGCAGGACGCGGGAGGAGCCAGGACUCCAGCGUGAUGGACUUGAAGAGCAGCGACAGAUGCUCCCAGGCGGCCCCGGCAUUGGGAAUGGGAAGAAAACGCCCACCUCGGGUCUAUAGGAGACCAGAAGGCUGUCAGCCUGGAACAUCUGGGCACCUCUCAAAUUUGCGGCUUCCUGUAGGGUCGUCUUGGCCCAGGAACCACGGGAAUCUGCCCUCGCACUGCGGGGGAGAGCGAGUUUCCAGGCUCCGAGCACUUAUCACACGUUGUAUUAUGUGUCUGUCUCUGGGUGACUUCCCUAGCAAGGUCCCACAGCGUCACAAGGCCGGGGACAUAGCUGGGGCCCAAUCCAUGCUGAAACAUGGGAUGCCAGACUCUAUCCAAAACCUCACAGUGCCUUCCAAGUUCCAGAAUCUCCUGGCUGCUCCUGCCAGCUUCCAGUCUUUCAUUCUUCUGAGUGCCAGCAGCCCAGACUAAACCCUUCCAUGUGCCCCCAGCUCCCUGCACCAACCCUGUAACCUGCCUUCCCUCCUCACUUGUACCCUUCUCCGUUUCCCCCUCUCCACUGCGAGUGUGCCUCUGGCACCUCUCCCAGGACCCAUUCACCUUCGGAGGCUGGUCCAUCGUUCCUCUUUUAGAGGCUACGUGUGCUGUGUGUUUGGCCUCUGGUUCACCGGGGACCAGAAAAACAAAAUUUAUCAUCUGACUGUCGUAUUUUUUUUCUUUCCAUUUUUUUUUUCCCCCCCUAAGAAUGGAGCAAGCACUUCUCCUCUGUGCUCAGAAAGAGCUUCAAACAUGGCAGGCCACAGGCAAAAGCAUAUCCUCCUUCUCAGAGGGAAGGAAUGCAACCGUUAACAAUAAAAAAAAAAAAAAAAAAAAUCCCUGGGAUUUAUGGAGGCCUUGGGCUUAUGAGCUGCCUCACAUCCGUUAGCCUGUAAUGACACAGCGAUCCGGCGGGGGGCGAAGCAGGAUUCACCAGCUCCAUCUAAGAGACGGAGAAACUGAGGCUCCAGCGCACAGUUCUGGGGGGCCGGGAGAAGCUCCCAGCUGCUGAGGCUGGUGAAAUAGCCUUGCCUUUGUAUGUGUAAACUGGGCUGAUUUGUUCAGUGUAAUCAUUAAAAAUAUAUGGAGUGUUCGGUGA